rnacentral:lncRNA from 1 species
ACCCGGCCAAGAUCUUCGGUCCGAUACUGUCUCACCACCAGACGGUGGCUGCUUCUUCCCCAAAUCCGGUGCCGCAACAGCAUAAAGUUCAAGGAAGCUAAUGAGGUUUGCGGUGCUUGAACCGGCCAAGGCUGAAGACCUUGGCUACGAAUUGUCGAGCUUCCUCUGCGCCGCUAUGGGAGAAGAUUUCCAUCGCAACCUCGACGCAAGCC